rnacentral:rRNA from 1 species
AUUGAACGCUGGCGGCAGGCCUAACACAUGCAAGUCGAGCGGAUGAAGGGAGCUUGCUCCUGGAUUCAGCGGCGGACGGGUGAGUAAUGCCUAGGAAUCUGCCUGGUAGUGGGGGAUAACGUCCGGAAACGGACGCUAAUACCGCAUACGUCCUGAGGGAGAAAGUGGGGGAUCUUCGGACCUCACGCUAUCAGAUGAGCCUAGGUCGGAUUAGCUAGUUGGUGGGGUAAAGGCCUACCAAGGCGACGAUCCGUAACUGGUCUGAGAGGAUGAUCAGUCACACUGGAACUGAGACACGGUCCAGACUCCUACGGGAGGCAGCAGUGGGGAAUAUUGGACAAAGGGCGAAAGCCUGAUCCAGCCAUGCCGCGUGUGUGAAGAAGGUCUUCGGAUUGUAAAGCACUUUAAGUUGGGAGGAAGGGCAGUAAGUUAAUACCUUGCUGUUUUGACGUUACCAACAGAAUAAGCACCGGCUAACUUCGUG